UUCGAAGCGCGGCGGAGGUGGAUUGAGAACCGCCGUCGUGGUUCGACAGGGACGCAGGAGCGGCCCUGAACGUAUCGCGUAGCGAUACGGCCCGGAGGGUGGAGGGCAGGAUGCCCGGAGUCAUCCACCUCCCUCCACCA
rfam:Dokdonella koreensis DS-123, complete genome.